rnacentral:rRNA from 1 species
UACGAAGGGGGCUAGCGUUGUUCGGAAUUACUGGGCGUAAAGCGCACGUAGGCGGAUAUUUAAGUCAGGGGUGAAAUCCCAGAGCUCAACUCUGGAACUGCCUUUGAUACUGGGUAUCUCGAGUAUGGAAGAGGUGAGUGGAAUUCCGAGUGUAGAGGUGAAAUUCGUAGAUAUCGGGAGGAAUACCAGUGGCGAAGGCGGCUUUCUGGGCCUGUUCUGACGCUGAGGAGCGAAAGCGUGGGGAGCAAACCGG